rnacentral:tRNA from 1 species
AAGGAUUUAAGUUAAAAAAAACUAAUAGCCUUCAAAGCUAUAAAUAGAAAAAUCUGUUCUAAGCCUUG